UACACUCCUACGGGAGGCAGCAGUGAGGAAUAUUGGACAAUGGGUGGAAGCCUGAUCCAGCCAUCCCGCGUGCAGGAAGACGGCCCUAUGGGUUGUAAACUGCUUUUAUCUGGGGAUAAACCUACUUACGUGUAAGUAGCUGAAGGUACCAGAAGAAUAAGCACCGGCUAACUCCGUGCCAGCAGCCGCGGUAAUACGGAGGGUGCAAGCGUUAUCCGGAUUUAUUGGGUUUAAAGGGUCCGUAGGCGGACUGAUAAGUCAGUGGUGAAAUCCGACAGCUUAACUGUCGAACUGCCAUUGAUACUGUUAGUCUUGAGUAAGGUUGAAGUGGCUGGAAUAAGUAGUGUAGCGGUGAAAUGCAUAGAUAUUACUUAGAACACCAAUUGCGAAGGCAGGUCACUAAGUCUUAACUGACGCUGAUGGACGAAAGCGUGGGGAGCGAACAGGAUUAGAAACUCCGGUAGUCC
rnacentral:rRNA from 1 species